rnacentral:rRNA from 1 species
CCUACGGGAGGCAGCAGUGAGGAAUAUUGGUCAAUGGACGAGAGUCUGAACCAGCCAAGUAGCGUGAAGGAUGACUGCCCUAUGGGUUGUAAACUUCUUUUAUAUGGGAAUAAAAUGUUCCACGUGUGGGAUUUUGUAUGUACCAUAUGAAUAAGGAUCGGCUAACUCCGUGCCAGCAGCCGCGGUAAUACGGAGGAUCCGAGCGUUAUCCGGAUUUAUUGGGUUUAAAGGGAGCGUAGGUGGAUUGUUAAGUCAGUUGUGAAAGUUUGCGGCUCAACCGUAAAAUUGCAGUUGAAACUGGCAGUCUUGAGUACAGUAGAGGUGGGCGGAAUUCGUGGUGUAGCGGUGAAAUGCUUAGAUAUCACGAAGAACUCCGAUUGCGAAGGCAGCUCACUGGACUGCAACUGACACUGAGGUUCGAAAGCGUGGGUAGCAAACAGGAUUAGAUACCCCGGUAGUC